AGUGAAGGAUGAGGAUGGAAAAGAGGAAAGCAUACUUGAAGAGAAUGUGUGGUCCCCUGUGACACGACUAUCAUCCUCACCUUUCUUGUGUUCAGAAGUGUGAGACUGGAAUUCAUCUGCCUGUUGCCCAAUACAAUAUGGCUACAGCUUGUAGCCAUUGAUAGCCACACUCCAGUCAUGGGUAAAAGGGAACUGGGAUGGAUGUUACACACUCUUACCCUCAGGAAGUCCUACAGAGUUUGGAAGAAUACAGAGUCCGGAACAAGCAACACUCAAGGAAGACAAGUUCCAGUGGAAGGAGCAGGAGAUACAGAACCAAUGCUGACAAAGCCUUGGGGAGCAAAGACAUAUGAAAAUACCUGCACAAACUGGAACUGGAGUCAGGAAAAUGGGGUACCGAGAGAGGGGAAUCACAAGAGCCCUGCAAAGCCAAAAGCAGCAAGAAAGGGAUGAAUAAGGUUGACUCGUUCAUAGACAGUAUGGGAAUGAUGAGGCACCAAGUGAGCUAGCAGGGAGCAAGCGUCUUUUGGGACUUAUAUUUAGAAAGGAAUUGUUAAAUGGACCCCAAUAUGGAUGCUUUUAUUCCUGAUUUUAUGUUCUGUAUGUUCUUCCAUUGCAAAUCCACUUGCAUCAGCAAAACAGGCAGUAUCAGAACCUACCCAUUUAGGUGCUGAUGAACAUUAACAUUUGACCCAUGGAAGACAUGAGGGAUGGUAAGGCUCAUGCUGCAGGCCCGUGUGAAGGAACUGCUGCUGGAGAGUUAAAUCUUGAUAGAAAACAAUGGCAGUCCCACCAUUUUGUCAGUUUUCUGAUGGCAUCCAAUUUUCUCUGUUUAAUUUAUAUAUAAUUCCUUUUUUGAAAAGAAAUAUAACAACCUAUAGUACCUGGGCUGAUACUUUACCAUGUACCUUGAUACUAAUGGUGUUAGAAGGGCUUGAUGCUUAAUAAAUAUGCUGUUUGAAUUUGAAUAUACCUCA
rnacentral:lncRNA from 1 species